ensembl:lncRNA
CUCCACUUGGUUGCUCCAGGACAAAUCAAAAACAAUUCGGUGCCUUCUUGUUUUUCAGUGGUUUGCUGACUCUUUGCAGGUCAGUGUCUAUUGUGUGUGCGUCUUGAGGAAGUUAUUAUGAGUGAGGUUACUAAUAUGUCCUGCUCCGUGAGCCACAGGUUAAUGGUGUGUACUGAGUGCAGUUCCGGACGCUGGAGAAAGCAAUCACUGGGGGUUGCCAGUCCACUGCUCUCUCUGAGGUCCUGUGUCAGCGGGCCCAGGUGUCUCCGGCGCUGAUAUUACAGCGGGGCAAUGAGCUACAGCAAACAGAGAUGAGUUUCCCCGCUGACCCCCGCCGGCACACAGCUGCCAUGACAACCAGUGUCCAGAGAGAUCCGAGGAGAGGCUGGACCUGCAGCGUUUGCUCCAUCAGGAUAAAGUCAGCGCAACCUUGAAGAACUUAAUGAAGGAGACAACGAGGGAGACUGACAAUGGAGAGCAAAGAAGGAGAUCAGGAAAGUACUUCAGGAGGUGGCUUUGAGCACAAAUGCUUUCAGCAGAAACUGAAGAAAGGAGCUGGACACUUUUGAUCGCCAGGACAAAAGCUUAUACAUUUUUAACUACAUUUAUCUAAAUGAAACCCAAUAAGCUUAAUAUUCAAAAAUCAGCACUGUGAUGAAUUUUCAUAUUUGCUAUUUAGGUUUUACUUUAUGUAUACAGCAAAUCUUGAUUGUACCCUUUUUUCCUGAAGAAAAUGUGCUUUUCACCAUAAAAAAGAAAGAAAAAAAAAUCUCCAAAUCUAUUUUUACUAGUUAUAAUUACAAUAAAAGAGCUCUCUAAUUUGAAUUGUUACUAGUAAAAAUGUAAUUACGACGAGUAACGUUGGGAAUAUUUUAAGCUAAAACGGCUUGCCAUAGUGUUGUCUGUAGUUGCC